UAGUGAAUUAUGCUCCGAAGCCCGCGCCCCGUCGUAGGAGACGGCCCUUGUGCCGUUUCAAAACCGGGAACGGGCCCGGGCGUCCGUCGCAACUGGCGCGAGACUUAGCGCAGUCCGCGGCGACGACGACCCGCAGGGCACGGCGGGAAACGGCCGUGUCUCCCACUAUCGGAAAGGAGUUCCAUACAGGGAGCA
rnacentral:ncRNA from 2 species